UACCCAGACUCCUACGGGAGGCAGCAGUGGGGAAUAUUGCACAAUGGGGGGAACCCUGAUGCAGCGACGCCGCGUGAGUGAAGAAGUAUCUCGGUACGUAAAGCUCUAUCAGCAGGGAAGAAAAUGACGGUACCUGAGUAAGAAGCCCCGGCUAACUACGUGCCAGCAGCCGCGGUAAUACGUAGGGGGCAAGCGUUAUCCGGACUUACUGGGUGUAAAGGGAGCGUAGACGGCGAUACAAGUCUGAAGUGAAAGCCCGGGGCUCAACCCCGGGACUGCUUUGGAAACUGUGUUGCUGGAGUGCUGGAGAGGCAAGCGGAAUUCCUAGUGUAGCGGUGAAAUGCGUAGAUAUUAGGAAGAACACCAGUGGCGAAGGCGGCUUGCCGGACAGUAACUGACGUUGAGGCUCGAAAGCGUGGGGAGCAAACAGGAUUAGAUACCCGCGUAA
rnacentral:rRNA from 1 species